rnacentral:rRNA from 1 species
ACGGGAGGCAGCAGUAGGGAAUAUUGCACAAUGGGGGAAACCCUGAUGCAGCAACGCCACGUGUGGGAAGACGCAUUUCGGUGUGUAAACCACUGUCGUGAAGGAAUAAUGCUGGACCUCGGUCCAGUUGAAUGUACUUUGAAAGGAAGCACCGGCAAACUUCGUGCCAGCAGCCGCGGUAAUACGAGGGGUGCAAGCGUUGUUCGGAAUCACUGGGCGUAAAGGGAGCGCAGGCGGAGAUGCAAGCAGUCUGUACAAUACCGGGGCCCAACCCCGGACCUGCAGACUGGACUGUUUCUCUUGGAUAGCUCAGGGGCUGGCGGAAUUCCUGGUGUAGCGGUGGAAUGCGUAGAGAUCAGGAGGAACACCAGUGGCGAAGGCGGCUUGCUGGACGACAACUGACGCUGAGGCGCGAAAGCGUGGGGAGCAAACAGGAUUAGAUACCCUGGUA